rnacentral:rRNA from 1 species
CCUACGGGAGGCUGCAGUAGGGAAUCUUCCACAAUGGGCGAAAGCCUGAUGGAGCAACGCCGCGUGGGUGAAGAAGGUCUUCGGAUCGUAAAACCCUGUUGUUAGAGAAGAAAGUGCGUGAGAGUAACUGUUCACGUUUCGACGGUAUCUAACCAGAACGCCACGGCUAACUACGUGCCAGCAGCCGCGGUAAUACGUAGGUGGCAAGCGUUAUCCGGAUUUAUUGGGCGUAAAGGGAACGCAGGCGGUCUUUUAAGUCUGAUGUGAAAGCCUUCGGCUUAACCGGAGUAGUGCAUUGGAAACUGGGAGACGUGAGUGCAGAAGAGGAGAGUGGAACUCAAUGUGUAGCGGUGAAAUGCGUAGAUAGAUGGAAGAACACCAGUGGCGAAAGCGGCUCUCUGGUCUGUAACUGACGCUGAGGUUCGAAAGCGUGGGUAGCAAACAGGAUUAGAUACCCGGGUAGUC